rnacentral:lncRNA from 1 species
UCAAGAACAAUUCUAUGCAUAUCUUCCUGAUGAGGAUUCUACAAAUCACGUUAUUGUCAUUGUCUUCAUUUGCUGCCAAUCCUCUCUCUCUAGCUGUUGUUAUCUUGGCUGUUUUCUCAUUUGGGUUAAUGCUGGAUUUUUAGGUUCAAGUGCAGACCUGGUAAUGGCUUGUGGGCGUUGGCCAAAGCCAAAAUCAACAAUAAAGGGUUUUGGUUAUUGAUCCCCUGCCCCUUCUAUUAAUAAGGAUGUUGUUAUUGCUAUAUUUCUUGUACUAAUAUAUUCUGUUUGUUUUUGUAGUGGAUGAUUCUAUUUGGUGUUAGACUCAUUGACUGCUCCAUUUGGUUCACCAUAUCUCUUCGCCUCUUUCAUUAUUUUACAUCAUCAUUAAUUGUUGGUACCAAAGAGCAACACAAGCUUCAGAUGCGAAAUCUCAGUGUCCAGGUGAGAUGCUAUAAUAAGGUUCCAAUUGUAGUCUAGUUUUCUGCACAUAUGCAAGAGCAGUGAGAUUCCUUUCUCACUUAGCCUUUUGUCACGGUUGUUCAUCAAUUUAGUCAAGAGUAACUUUUUCACAACUUUCUUUUCCUUUUGCAGGAUUAGCUAUCUGCACCAACACAACUCUUUCUUGACACACAGGGUGCCGAAUGAGAAGCUGCUCCAUGGCCAAAAGCUUUAAACUUAUUCCCUUGAAAAUAUCCAUGUCAUCCGCACCAAGCAACAUUAUCUUCCCUUGAUCAGAGAACUGCUUAACAAGCUCUCCAACUUUUUCUUCAGUCUUUGGCAUGCUCAUUUAUUGAAUUCAUGAUUCUAACAGUAGCUUUUUGUAUAUCAAUUACACUAUGGUGAACUCAUUAGGAAAUCUCCUGAUUUAAUGCACGUAUAUUUUAUACUAUGCACCCUUUUAUUCCAAAUUCGGGCCACUGUUUGUAUGAUAGAUAGUGUAGGCUCCUGAGUAACUUUAUGUCCAGGUUAUGGUCUUUGAUAGCAUUAAUCAAACUAUACCUUAAUUCUUAAUCCGAG